rnacentral:rRNA from 1 species
GACGAACGCUGGCGGCGUGCUUAACACAUGCAAGUCGAACGAAGUGGCGAACGGGUGAGUAACGCGUAAUCAACCUGCCCUUCAGAGGGGGACAACAGUUGGAAACGACUGCUCAUACCGCAUACUGAAGGAGGGGAUUGCGUCUGAUUAGCUGGUUGGAGGGGUAACGGCCCACCAAGGCGAUGAUCAGUAGCCGGUGUGAGAGGAUGAUAGGAACAAUUGGUACUGAGACACGGCCCAGACUCCUACGGGAGGUAGCAGUGGGGAAUCGUCCGCAAUUGAAGAAAGUCUGAAGGAGCAACGCCGCGUGAGUGAUGACGGCUUUCGGGUUUUAAAGCUCUGGUAUUCGGGACGCGGUACCUGACUAGAAAGCCACGGAGAACCACGUGCCAUCAGCCGCGGUAAUAC